rnacentral:tRNA from 1 species
CGGGGCGUAGCGCAGCUUGGUAGCGCACCUGCUUUGGGAGCAGGGGGUCGUCGGUUCGAAUCCGGCCGCCCCGA